UACGAAGGGGGCUAGCGUUGUUCGGAAUUACUGGGCGUAAAGCGUGCGCAGGCGGCUCAUCAAGUCAGAGGUGAAAGCCCAGGGCUCAACCCUGGAAUUGCCUUUGAAACUGGUGGGCUUGAGUGCGGGAGAGGUGAGUGGAAUUCCCAGUGUAGAGGUGAAAUUCGUAGAUAUUGGGAAGAACACCGGUGGCGAAGGCGGCUCACUGGCCCGUUUCUGACGCUCAUGCACGACAGCGUGGGGAUCAAACAGG
rnacentral:rRNA from 1 species